AACGAACGCUGGCGGCAGGCUUAACACAUGCAAGUCGAACGAUCUCUUCGGAGGUAGUGGCAGACGGGUGAGUAACACGUGGGAACGUACCUUUCAGUCAGGAAUAACUCAUGGAAACGUGAGCUAAUACCCGAUACGCCCUUUUGGGGAAAGAUUUAUCGCUGAAAGAUCGGCCCGCGUCUGAUUAGCUAGUUGGUGGGGUAAUGGCCUACCAAGGCGACGAUCAGUAGCUGGUCUGAGAGGAUGAUCAGCCACACUGGGACUGAGACACGGCCCAGACUCCUACGGGAGGCAGCAGUGGGGAAUAUUGGACAAUGGGCGCAAGCCUGAUCCAGCCAUGCCGCGUGAGUGAUGACGGCCUUAGGGUUGUAAACUGCUUUUAUAGGUGAAUAAUAUGAAUGUAACCUAUGAAUAAGCACCGGCUAACUACGUGCCAGCCGCCGCGGUAA
rnacentral:rRNA from 1 species